UGAUCGHCUGGUUAAUUCCGUUAACGAACGUGACUCAAAUACAUUAAAUAGAUUCCUAUCAGAUAAGUAAACUGUUGAUGCUUGCCUAUGGCUUGCCUUCGGGUUUGUCAUUGGGUAAGUGGAAGUUUACCUGAUAGUUUGUCAACUGUCAAAGGUUGACUUUGAUCUGCUUAAUGAGACAAAUUGUGUUUAGCAAAAUGAGAUUGAGCAAUAACAGGUCCGUGAUGCCCUUAGAUGUCCUGGGUUGCACGCGCGCUACAAUGAGACCAUCAACGUGAUACCUGAUCUGAAAGGAUUGGGAAAUCACUUAAAUGUGCUCUUAGUUGGGAUUGUGGAUUGUAAUUAUUCACAUGAACCUGGAAUUCCCAGUAAAUGCUAGUCAUCAGCUAGCGUUGACUAAGUCCCUGCCCUUUGUACACACCGCCCGUCGCUAUUACCGAUUGGUUAUUUAGUGAGGUCUCCGGAGGUAAUCGCCGAAGAUACUUAGGUAUCACUAGGUUGUUUUGCCAAAGUUGACCGAACUUGAUGAUUGAGAGGAAAUAAAAGUCGUAACAAGGUUUCCGUAGGUGAACCUGCCGGAAGGGAUCAUUACUAUAUUAUUUCCACAAAAUCAAAUAUAAUAAAAAGAGUUAAGUAAAAUAAAACCAAAGUCGUCGCUAGCCGGCGCCCAAAUACAAAACAAAGAUUAAGUAAAAUUUCAUCAGUAAUUGUCGAAAGGCAUUACACAUCAUUCAAAUAACAUCCUAGACAGGGGAUCACUAGGCUCAUGGGUCGAUGAAGACCGCAGCUAACUG
rnacentral:rRNA from 1 species